GGUGCUAUGGCCGAGUGGUCUAAGGCGGCGCACUCAAGUUGCGCUCUCUUCGGAGGCGUGGGUUCGAAUCCCAUUGGCACUA